GACGAACCGUGCGAACGUUGUUCGGAAUCACUGGGCUUAAAGGGCGCGUAGGCGGGCCAUAAAGUCAGACGUGAAAUCCCUCGGCUUAACCGGGGAACUGCCUCUGAUACUGGAUGGCUUGAGAUUGGGAGAGGGAUGCGGAAUUCCAGGUGUAGCGGUGAAAUGCGUAGAUAUCUGGAGGAACACCGGUGGCGAAGGCGGCAUCCUGGACCAACACUGACGCUGAGGAGCGAAAGCCAGGGGAGCGAACGGG
rnacentral:rRNA from 1 species